UGUACUUUGUAGUGAUUUCUGAAAUUUUGUAAAUUUAUUUGUGAAGGCCAUAACUCCAUGUCGUCUUGCCCUUGAGGAUAAAGUUUUGGGUAACAAAGUGAUAGUGGCAGAUGGUAUGGCGUACCCAUUGGAUGGUUCGUUGCACCAACACUUUAGAUCGAUGAAGCCUAGUCAUUAUAAGGUCCAAGUUGAUUGUAUUUACGACGGACAUGAUGAUGACACUCUUCCGGUACCUACUGGAGAUGGAUUCAAUAACUUAGGCAGGGCUCUUGCUAGUUUUGUGCAAUGGCCAAUUCACUUGGUGAUUUUCGAAGAAGACGAGGAGUACUCUACUCCACGCCCAACAAAGAAGUCCAGGAGUCAGAUUUUUGAAGAGGUGGUUGGUAGCUCCAAAGAGAAGAAAACGAAUUAAUUGUCAAAGAGAAGACAACAGAAUUAGUUGUCAAAGAUAAGACAACAGAAUUAAUUGUCAAAGAGAAGGCAACACUUGAUUUAGGGUCCAAAGAGAAGACAACACUGAAGUUAACGGCCAAGGAAAAUUCAUGCUCAAAUAAGUUGGAGUCGAAAUCGAAGUCGAAGAACUCUAAGAUGGCCAAAGAGAUGGUAGGUAGUUGUGAUCGUAAAACUGAAGAAUCAGCCGCCAAAAGUAAGAAGCAAAAUUUGGCAGACGACACAAUUCAAGGUCUUGGCCCAUCAUGCAAUUAUUUGAAGUUUAUCAUCAAUACGGCGCCCGGUGAUGUAUAUAAAAAUACUUCAA